ACUCUGGGCUGAGCCAGGUGGGAGGUGUGGGUGGUGUUCAUGUCCCCAGGAGCUGCUCAAAUCCACCUUAAACUCCUGGAAUGGUCUGUGCUGGCAAGAACCUUACAGACCAUCCUGUUCAGCCCCUUGCCAUGGUCAGGGACACCUUCCUGGGGUGUCUGUGCCAGAGUGGUGGAACGGGCAGGACUUACUCCCUGAGCCCAGUCCCGGGCAAGAUUGGGGUUCCCAUGGGAAGAAGCCUGUGAGCUGCAUUUCCGGAGCUGGGAGCCUCCAUGCCUGGGAGUGUUUCCAGUACUGCUCUUUGGCUUUUUCCAUAACUGGGCAUGAUGUUUCUCCCCAGAGCAAGGUGGUUUUCCCUGGAUUGUUGGGGUUACACACUGGCUGUUUGACAGCUCUGUUGUCUCUUUCUCCUGAAUGGAAGAGCGAGGAACAGGGGAUGCUCCCGACUGUCCCAGGGAUGUGGGAACAGCCCAGUUCCAGUGAGGAAUGUGACGCCCAGCUCGUGGCGUGUGCCCUGAGAUGGUCUUUGCUGUUGUUUUGUCCUUAGAGCCUGUUGGAGUGCUGGCCUGGAUUUGGGAGGAGCCAAGUAGCCUGGAGCAGUGAGGUUUUUCCUGUCAGAAAUCCAUGCUGGGGAUGUUUUCCCUGGCUGUCCCAAGGGGAAGGAACAGCUCUGGAGUUUUUGCAGCCACAGGCUGGGGAUGCAUCCCCUGAAAACCAGUUCAGGAUCGGUCAUCUGACUCUGUCUCUGACCUGUGGCUUCCAGGGAGCCUUCUGGUCUUCUGGAUAUUCCCAGGAGAGGAUAUUUCACCACCUGACUUUUAAGCCAGGAAUUCCAAACCCACACCGUUCCAGGGGAAAGCUGGUGAAAGGAUAAAGAUGCAGAGGAACAAGUGUUGUAAACCCCCCUGCCUCCCUGACAAAGCAAACCUUUCUGCAAUCCCAGUAAAUCUCUUGGAGAAGCUGUGGGAUCAUAAGGUUUCCUAGGAAAGGAAAACUAAGGACAGAGAUGAGGAAAGAGGCUUCCAAUUAACAAUGAUUUGAUGGAGGAUGAGGAAGCCAGGCCUGCUGAGGAGGAAGAUGAGGAAGUGUGUGAGGAUGGAGACAGCGGCCACCAAAGGCUGGGGAAGGCACAGAUCCAGGUAGGAGACGUUGCCUUGCGAGGAGAGGGACUUGUCUGUCCCGUUGGAAUUUGGGGCGUGAGGCCAGUGGAACAAAGGGUUUGAUUCCAUUUUCUUGCUCAGAUUUUCACGUGCCUUAAGAGAGCUUUGCGAAAAUGUCAUUAUCCCUGAUUGAGUCUCUGAAAAACAGGGAUUGAAGCUUUCAGAAGGGGCCCAACCCUGCCUGCAUGUAUCCAAGUGCAGCCCCCACUCCCUGUUUUUGUGUACAGCUGGGAUGAGACCUCAGCUGCUGUUACUUGCCAGCUCACAAGUUGUGUAGCUCAGAGCCUCAGCCAUGAAGGGCCAGGCUGUGUUUAAAACAGCCCAAGGUACCAGAGAGCUGGAGUAAUUUCCUAGCAGGUAACUUGACUUGGAAGCUGCAUUGUAAAAUUUGUCCACAUUUAAUUUAUGCCCCACAUGGAGACACCUAAAGAAGCAGAGGUGGGGUGUUCCUAAGAAAAGAACAUCCGAAUUCUUUGGUGGUAGAGGGCUUAAAAUUAAAGUCUGAGUGGAGGUGCCUUUAGGACACUUCCAUUCCAGUAUCUGAAUGGAAUUUAAAUGAAGUAGCCAAAUCCUGACAAGCUUGUAUGAACUCCAAAGCCUCUGCAAGGGUUUCACAGCCAGGGAAGGAGAUAAGAGUCUGGAGUCUCUCCCCAAAACCUGGCUGCUGGUUUGUUUGGCCAGGCAUAGGAAUAAUUGUGUAUUCCCUGGGGCUGUCCUUAUGGGGAGAGGUUUACUUAUGUGCCCUGGGUUUAUUCAGUGCAUCUUCAAAGUGAUGGAAAUUGAUUUCACUGAAAGGCCAGGGGUGCCAAAUGUUUUCCCCAGCCAGAGCUCGGAGCCAGCCCAGUGGGAAGGGGUUUAGUGGCCAUUUUCCUGCUCCCUUGGGCAGCAGCACUGGAGCACUCGCACCCAACCGUGCCCGAGGUGCCGAGUACUGGCAGGAGGCAAAGCCAGGGACUGGGCAGGAGGAGCUUGCAGUGCUCCUGGAAGCGCAGACCUGGAGCCGUGGGUUAGAACUCCCAGGAGCUGCUGCCUCACUCAAACCUUGUUUAAAGCUCAGCAUCCCUCCUGCUCCCUUGGAAUGAUUGUUGCUUCUGUUGUUGCUCUUUCCCGAUCCAUUAUGAUUAUUAUUGUAAAUUGCCACUCCAUUUCUUCCAUAGCCCUUUGCUUCCUAGAGGUGGUGCUUUAGGAAAGCCCCUCCAGCCUGGAAAGGGGCUUUUGGCUCCGGGUUCAUUCCCAGUCCCCAUGAGCAGCUGGACCUGUGCUGUCCCCAGCAGGUGCCUUUCCUUCCUUCCCUGCUGCACUUUGGCUUUUCAAGGGCUCUCUGGGGGGCUGAGGGAGAAGUUCUUUGUCAUUCCAGGGCAGCAUAAGCCCUGAUCCCACUCAAAGCAGGAGGAAUUAUUUCAUCCUUGUUUUUGGAUACACUUUUGGUGUUUUCUCUCUUUUGCUGACACUGUGUGGUGAAGCAGCAGCUCCCUGGAAUAAUUUUUAUUUGUAAAACAAUGAAUUCCCUGCUGGAAUCCCAGUCACAGCCCCCCAGAUCAAGGUGCAGUUUAAGGCCUUACAUCCUGACCAGGACAAGUUCCUGUCCUUAGACAUGGAAACCAG